rnacentral:rRNA from 1 species
GACGGAGGAGGCUAGCGUUGUUCGGAAUUACUGGGCGUAAAGCGCGCGCGGGCGGUUAUGCAAGUCAGGGGUGAAAGCCCGGGGCUCAACCUCGGAACGGCCUUUGCGACUGCAUGACUUGAGACCGGAAGAGGAGAGUGGAAUUCCCAGUGUAGAGGUGAAAUUCGUAGAUAUUGGGAAGAACACCAGUGGCGAAGGCGGCUCUCUGGUCCGGUACUGACGCUGAGGCGCGAAAGCGUGGGGAGCAAACAGG